AUUGAACGCUGGCGGCAGGCUUAACACAUGCAAGUCGAACGGUAACAUGAAGAAGCUUGCUUCUUUGAUGACGAGUGGCGGACGGGUGAGUAAUGCUUGGGAAUCUAGCUUAUGGAGGGGGAUAACUACGGGAAACUGUAGCUAAUACCGCGUAGAAUCGAGAGAUGAAAGUGUGGGACCUUCGGGCCACAUGCCAUAGGAUGAGCCCAAGUGGGAUUAGGUAGUUGGUGAGGUAAAGGCUCACCAAGCCGACGAUCUCUAGCUGGUCUGAGAGGAUGACCAGCCACACUGGGACUGAGACACGGCCCAGACUCCUACGGGAGGCAGCAGUGGGGAAUAUUGCGCAAUGGGGGCAACCCUGACGCAGCCAUGCCGCGUGAAUGAAGAAGGCCUUCGGGUUGUAAAGUUCUUUCGGUAGCGAGGAAGGCAUUUAGUUUAAUAGACUAGGUGAU
rnacentral:rRNA from 1 species